UCUCGGAUCAUCAAAGCUCAGUAAACAUCGGUCAGUGAGAUUUACUUGAAAUUUAAAUUGAAUCAAGAUGAAUCACUCAUGUUUUCACGACGCGUUCUUUGUACGCUUUCUGACCGGUUUAUCUGUUCUUUGAGUUAUAUGUUGAUAUUAAUAUCCUUCUCAUCCAGUGUUUCGAUGUCAUGAGACACAGCUGUCUUUGCCUUCUCAGAAAAGAACAUGAAAAUACUGAAUGAGGAGGAAAUGAGCAAAUCAGGUGCAUCUGUAACAGUUUAUGUUUCAGUUUUCAUUGUUGACUCUUUUUGGAAUUAAAAUAGAAAAGUUGCGUGCUUUUCAUUGCCUAAAAAGAAACAAAAGCAAGUGUAUUGUCACUCCAGGAAGAUGAUUAUCAGUGUGCUUUUCUUUCUUUAAAACGGAUACUAAAGUCCGUCUUAAACGCGGUGUUUGUUUCCCGCCCCCUGGCGUCCUCCCGCGGUACGGCACUGUCGCAAUUCACGACUCAUCACGACAAAUAAAAGAGAGCGAGGUUAACGAGCAGCACGAGACAUCGGCUUCAACCUCGCCUCGGAAAAUGUGUGACCGAGAUCAAGACAAGACUGUCCUCGUAGGAAACAUCCACAGCUGUGUGACGGAGGAGAUUCUGUUCGAGCUGUUCCUGCAGGCAGGUCCGGUAGAAGAGGUGUGUAUAUUCCGAGAGGGUCAGUGUGGUUGUGUUUAUUAUAAGCACGCUGAGGCGGUCCCCUACGCUGUGGCUCUUCUCAAUGGGAUCUGGCUCUACGGGCAGCCAAUCAGAUUACAGCAGAGGACCGCGCUGUGUCCUUCAGUGCAGAUGAUGAUGUACUUCUGAAUGUAAAUGACAGUCCAGCUGUGAAGAACUACUUCAGUGAAGCCUGCAGCUGGAGAGACAUGGCGUCCAGCAGAGGUCAGGUCAGGGGUCAGCGCGCUCUGGUCUCCCGUCUGUGACGUCCAUCAGACAGUAAACACUGAGAAGCAUGUCAUCCGGCUCUGAGAGAGACUCUAAUAAAACCUUCUGCAUUCA